rnacentral:rRNA from 1 species
CCUACGGGGAGCUGCAGUGAGGAAUAUUGGUCAAUGGACGAGAGUCUGAACCAGCCAAGUAGCGUGAAGGAUGACUGCCCUAUGGGUUGUACACUUCUUUUAUAUGGGAAUAAAAUGUUCCACGUGUGGGAUUUUGUAGGUACCAUAUGAAUAAGGAUCGGCUAACUCCGUGCCAGCAGCCGCGGUAAUACGGAGGAUCCGAGCGUUAUCCGGAUUUAUUGGGUUUAAAGGGAGCGUAGGUGGAGUGUUAAGUCAGUUGUGAAAUUUUGCGGCUCAACCGUGAAAUUGCAGUUGAAACUGGCAUUCUUGAGGACAGUGAAGGUAGGCGGAAUUCGUGGUGUAGCGGUGAAAUGCUUAGAUAUCACGAAGAACUCCGAUUGCGAAGGCAGCUCACUGGACUGCAACUGACACUGAGGCUCGAAAGUGUGGGUAUCAAACAGGAUUAGAUACCCGUGUAGUC